GGUAUGAAAGGGUUAACGAAGAAGGUGCUGUGUCUAAAAAUUCAAUUUAAACUAACUUUAAGGUGAAGAGGCCUUUAUGUAAAAGAAGGACGACAAGACCCUAUGAAGCUUUAUCUUAAUUAGAGCUCUCAGGCUCUUAUACGAUUUUGAUGGGAGAUCAGUAGAAAUAAGUCUUCUACUAUCAUAUUAAUCUUACUAGUAUUUCCUAACUUUAUAUGUGUGGCUAGCUACUCUAGGGAUAACAGCGCAAUUUCUCCCGAAAGAUGGUAUUGGAGGGGAAGAUUGCGACCUCGAUGUUGGCUUUAGAUAUCCUAGAGGCGUAGAAGCUUCU
rnacentral:rRNA from 1 species